GUGCCAGCCGCCGCGGCGGCACCAGCGCCCUUAGUGGUAAUCACGUUUAUUGGGUCUAAAGCGUUCGUAGCCGGUUUGAUAAAUUUCUUGUGAAAUUGUUGGGCUUAACUCAAUGAAGUGCAAGAAACACUGUUGAACUUGAAACCGGGAGGAGAUAGAGGUAUUUCGGGGGGAGCGGUAAAAUGUUAUAAUCCUCGGAGGACCACCAGUGGCGAAGGCUUCUAUCUAGAACGGAUUUGACGGUGAGGAACGAAGGCCAGGGGAGCAAAACGGAUUAGAUACCCGAGUAGUCCUGGCUGUAAACGCUGCGAGCUGAGUGGUGCAUAUUCUUCAUGGAUGUGCAUGGCUUAAGUGAAGACGUUAAGCUCGCCACCUGGGAAGUAUAGUCGCAAGGCCGAAACUUAAAGGAAUUGGCGGGGGCUCACUACAAGGGGUGCGGCGUGCGGUUCAAUCUAAUUACACGCAGAGAAUCUCACCAGGAGCGACGGCAGAAUGAAGGUCAGAUUAAAGGUUUUACCUAACAAGCCGAGAGGUGAUGCAUGGCCGCCGUCAGUUCGUGCCGUGAGGUGUUACGUUAAGUCGUAAAACGAACAAGACCCAUGCUUACAUUUGCCAGCAUUUUUCUACGGAAAGAAUGGGCACAAUGUGAGGACUGCAUUCGAAGGAUGAGGAAGGUGUGGGCAACGGUAGGUCUGUAUGUCCCGAACCUCCUGGCUUACACGCGCGCCACAAUGGCAGGACAAUAGGAUGCC
rnacentral:rRNA from 1 species